GUGGAUUAGAUACCCUGGUAGUCCAUACAGUAAACGUUGAUAACUCGAUGUGUGCGAUAUACAGUACGCGUCCAAGGGAAACCGAUAAGUUAUCCACCUGGGGAGUACGACCGCAAGGUUGAAACUCAAAGGAAUUGACGGGGGCCCGCACAAGCGGAGGAGCAUGUGGUUUAAUUCGAUGAUACGCGAGGAACCUUACCUGGGCUUGAAAGUUAGUGAAUGAAGUGGAAACAUUUCAGUGAGCAAUCACACGAAACUAGGUGCUGCACGGUCGUCGUCAGCU
rnacentral:rRNA from 1 species